UACGUAGGGUGCAAGCGUUGUCCGGAAUUAUUGGGCGUAAAGAGCUCGUAGGCGGUUUGUCGCGUCUGCUGUGAAAACUCGGGGCUUAACUCCGGGCCUGCAGUGGGUACGGGCAGACUAGAGUGCGGUAGGGGAGACUGGAAUUCCUGGUGUAGCGGUGAAAUGCGCAGAUAUCUGGAGGAACACCGGUGGCGAAGGCGGCAUCCUGGACCGGCAUUGACGCUGAUGAGCGAAAGCUAGGGGAGCAAACGGG
rnacentral:rRNA from 1 species